rnacentral:rRNA from 1 species
AGAGCGAACGCUGGCGGCAGGCUUAACACAUGCAAGUCGAGCGGGCGUAGCAAUACGUCAGCGGCAGACGGGUGAGUAACGCGUGGGAACAUACCUUUUGGUUCGGAACAACACAGGGAAACUUGUGCUAAUACCGGAUAAGCCCUUACGGGGAAAGAUUUAUCGCCGAAAGAUCGGCCCGCGUCUGAUUAGCUAGUUGGUGAGGUAACGGCUCACCAAGGCGACGAUCAGUAGCUGGUCUGAGAGGAUGAUCAGCCACAUUGGGACUGAGACACGGCCCAAACUCCUACGGGAGGCAGCAGUGGGGAAUAUUGGACAAUGGGCGCAAGCCUGAUCCAGCCAUGCCGCGUGAGUGAUGAAGGCCCUAGGGUUGUAAAGCUUCUUUUGUGCGGGAAGAUAAUGACGGUACCGCAAGAAUAAGGCCCCGGCUAACUUCGCGCCAGCAGCCGC